UCAAACUUGGUCAUUUAGAGGAAGUAAAAGUCGUAACAAGGUCUCCGUUGGUGAACCAGCGGAGGGAUCAUUACCGAGUGAAAACUCCCAAACCCUUAUGUGAACAUACCAUCGUCGUUGCCUCGGCGGAUCACCCUCCCCAAGCGCCCCGGGCCACCGUGCCCGGGGGCCGCGCGGGGGCCGGGCCCGCCAGAGGACCCCUCAAAACUCUUGUUUUUUUUACGUGGAAUCUUCUGAGUAAACCAAAAAUAAAAUUAAAACUUUCAACAAUGGAUCUCUUGGCUCUGGCAUCGAUGAAGAACGCAGC
rnacentral:misc_RNA from 1 species